rnacentral:rRNA from 1 species
AAUGCUUAGGAAUCUGCCUAUUAGUGGGGGACAACAUUCCGAAAGGAAUGCUAAUACCGCAUACGCCCUACGGGGGAAAGCAGGGAUCUUCGGACCUUGCGCUAAUAGAUGAGCCUAAGUCGGAUUAGCUAGUUGGUGGGGUAAAGGCCUACCAAGGCGACGAUCUGUAGCGGGUCUGAGAGGAUGAUCCGCCACACUGGGACUGAGACACGGCCCAGACUCCUACGGGAGGCAGCAGUGGGGAAUAUGACAAUGGGGGGAACCUGAUCCAGCCAUGCCGCGUGUGUGAAGAAGGCCUUUUGGUUGUAAAGCACUUUAAGCGAGGAGGAGGCUACCGAGACUAAUACUCUUGGAUAGUGGACGUUACUCGCAGAAUAAGCACCGGCUAACUCUGUGCCAGCAGCCGCGGUAAUACAGAGGGUGCGAGCGUUAAUCGGAUUUACUGGGCGUAAAGCGUGCGUAGGCGGCUGAUUAAGUCGGAUGUGAAAUCCUGAGCUUAACUUAGGAAUUGCAUUCGAUACUGGUCAGCUAGAGUAUGGGAGAGGAUGGUAGAAUUCCAGGUGUAGCGGUGAAAUGCGUAGAGAUCUGGAGGAAUACCGAUGGCGAAGGCAGCCAUCUGGCCUAAUACUGACGCUGAGGUACGAAAGCAUGGGGAGCAAACAGGAUUAG